GUACAGAACUUUUUUUUAUGUAUAUACAUUUGACUUUUAUUUUGAAGAUCGGCACGCUUCCGGCCAGCAGGCAUGGCUGCGGGUCUGCAGUUGAAAACAACGAAGCUAUAAUUUAAGAAGACUUUAAAGCUGCAGCAGCAGAUCCUUCAGCCUGUUCUACAGCUCGAGGAGGAACCGGGCAGGAGCGGAGGUUUUAAAGGUGGCGGGAAUGGGCUUACAUAAUUUUAGAUAUAAAUGCUGAGAUUUAAAGUUGAUCAUCUUUAGAGCAACAGAGAAGCAGAUCCAUGAGUUCAGAGCUGACCAUAACUGCAUACCACCUUGCUACCAGUCCUCUACAGCUCCUCUAUAUGUCUUCUUUUCCAAAUGAUCCAAAUCCUCUUCCUUCACCAACAUUGCUGGAGUUGUGUUCAGUGAAGAGGUGAAUUCAGGCUACUGAGAGUAGAGU
rnacentral:lncRNA from 1 species